ensembl:snRNA U6 U6 spliceosomal RNA
GUGCUCACAGCACAAAUACUAAAACUGGACUGAUACAGAGAAGAUUAGCAUAGCCCCUUCACAAGGAUGACACACAAAUUCAUGAAGUGAUUCAUAUUUUU